rnacentral:rRNA from 1 species
AUGUGCAAACCGAAGUUCAUGGGUGGUCUGGGCUUCCGGGAUGUUGAGCUUUUCAACCUUGCUUUGUUGUCAAAACAAGUGUGGCGAUUGCUUCAAGAACCUAAUACACUCAGUGCUCGAGUUUUGAAAGCACGGUACUACCCAGACGAUCACAUUCUGGAUGCUGGUUUGGGUCGUCACCCCUCUCAGGUGUGGCGUUCAUUACUUGAGGGG